rnacentral:rRNA from 1 species
UACGUAGGGUGCAAGCGUUGUCCGGAAUUAUUGGGCGUAAAGAGCUCGUAGGCGGUCUGUCACGUCGGCUGUGAAAACCCGAGGCUCAACCUCGGGCCUGCAGUGGGUACGGGCAGACUAGAGUGCGGUAGGGGAGAUUGGAAUUCCUGGUGUAGCGGUGAAAUGCGCAGAUAUCAGGAGGAACACCGGUGGCGAAGGCGGGUCUCUGGGCCGAUACUGACGCUGAGGAGCGAAAGCGUGGGGAGCGAACAGG